CAGUAGCGUAUAUUAAAGUUGUUGCGGUUAAAAGCUCGUAGUUGGAUUUCUGUUGAGGGUGGCCAGUCCGCACUUUGUGCGAGUAUUUGGUUCAGCCUCGGCAUCCUCCUGGGGAGCGUGAUUGUACUUAAUUGUAUGACGCGUAAUUCAGGACUUUUACUUUGAGGAAAUUAGAGUGUUCACGGCAGGCGAUAGCCUUGAAUAUGUUAGCAUGGAAUAAUAAUAUAAGACCUCGGUUUUAUUUUGUUGGUUUCUAGAAGCGGGGUAAUGAUUAAUAGGGAUAAUUGGGGGUAUUCGAAUUAAUGCGUCAGAGGUGGAAUUCUUGGAUUGCAUUACGACGAACUACUGCGAAAGCAUUUACCAAGGAUGUUUUCAUUGAUCAAGAACGAAAGUCAGGGGAUCGAAGACGAUCAGAUACCAU
rnacentral:rRNA from 1 species